AUUGAACGCUGGCGGCAGGCCUAACACAUGCAAGUCGAACGGUAACAGGAAGAAGCUUGCUUCUUUGCUGACGAGUGGCGGACGGGUGAGUAAUGUCUGGGAAACUGCCCGAUGGAGGGGGAUAACUACUGGAAACGGUAGCUAAUACCGCAUAACGUCGCAAGACCAAAGAGGGGGACCUUCGGGCCUCUUGCCAUCGGAUGUGCCCAGAUGGGAUUAGCUAGUAGGUGGGGUAACGGCUCACCUAGGCGACGAUCCCUAGCUGGUCUGAGAGGAUGACCAGCCACACUGGAACUGAGACACGGUCCAGACUCCUACGGGAGGCAGCAGUGGGGAAUUUUGCACAAUGGGCGCAAGCCUGAUGCAGCCAUGCCGCGUGUAUGAAGAAGGCCUUCGGGUUGUAAAGUACUUUCAGCGGGGAGGAAGGGAGUAAAGUUAAUACCUUUGCUCAUUGACGUUACCCGCAGAAGAAGCACCGGCUAACUCCGUG
rnacentral:rRNA from 1 species